GACGAACGCUGGCGGCGUGCUUAACACAUGCAAGUCGAACGGAAAGGCCCUGCUUUUGUGGGGUGCUCGAGUGGCGAACGGGUGAGUAACACGUGAGUAACCUGCCCUUGACUUUGGGAUAACUUCAGGAAACUGGGGCUAAUACCGGAUAGGAGCUCCUGCUGCAUGGUGGGGGUUGGAAAGUUUCGGCGGUUGGGGAUGGACUCGCGGCUUAUCAGCUUGUUGGUGGGGUAGUGGCUUACCAAGGCUUUGACGGGUAGCCGGCCCGAGAGGGUGACCGGCCACAUUGGGACUGAGAUACGGCCCAGACUCCUACGGGAGGCAGCAGUGGGGAAUAUUGCACAAUGGGCGGAAGCCUGAUGCAGCAACGCCGCGUGCGGGAUGACGGCCUUCGGGUGGUAAACCGCUUUCGCCUGUGACGAAGCGUGAGUGACGGGAAUGGGUAAAGAAACACCGGCUAACUACGU
rnacentral:rRNA from 1 species